AUGCGGCUGUACGUGUGCGUGCUCGAGGCCCGCGACCUCCCGGCGCCGCUGGACGGGGGCGGCGAAGGAUUUUACGCGAGGGUGAAGGUGGGGAGGCAGCGGGCGCGGACGCGGGCGGUGGAGCUGGCGGGCCCGGGCGGCGCGGCGGCGUGGAACGAGGAGUUCGCGUUCGCGGUGGGGGAGGAGGAGCACGAGGUGGUGGAGGUCAGCGUUGCGCGGCGCCGGGAGGAGGGGGCCGGGAGGGAGGUGCUGGGCAGGGUCAAGCUGCCGCUGCCGCCCGCGCAGGCCGCCUCCGCCGCCAGCAGGAGGCACUCGGUGCCGCCCACCUGGUUCACGCUGCACCCCAAGCACCGCCGGAAGGGCCGCGCCGCCGAUGCCGCGGACUGCGGGAAAAUUCUCCUCACAUUCUCACUCUAUGGAGAGAACAGUGACAAUACCGUCAUCCACUCAUCUCCCUGUCCAAGCUCCAGGAGUGGCACAGAUGUGGAAAUUGAGAGAUCAGACUGCAGGGAACAUUCAGGCGCCAACGGUGUGGUGCUUGAUUCCGCAAGGAGUUCUGCAGUGGAGCAAACUUCUGUAGAUAAUUCUGACCGGUCAAUACAAGCAGAUUCCGAUACAGUUUCUGAAGAUGAUGGCCUGAUAGAGCCUGGUGCUGCAGCAGCAGCAGCAAAGAGCGCCCAUGACAGUGACGCUGAGCCGUCCGUUUCAGAUGCAAGCUUUGAAGAAGCCAUGGAAACCAUGAAGGCGGCGAGUAGUACACCAGACAUGCCGGAUGAUCUCGGUAGUGGCGUAAUGUUUGAUCACACUUACCUCGUGGAGGCGAAGGACUUGAACUCUCUUCUCUUCGGACCUGAUUCCCAGUUCUCCAAGGACCUGCGUGAGCUGCAGGGUACCACGGACUACGACGAGCAGCCAUGGACAUGGAAGAGCCAGGACCCUCCCAGCUUAACCAGGACAUGCCGGUACACGAAAGGCGCAACAAAGCUCAUGAAAGAUGUCAAAACCAUCGAGGAACAGACCUAUCUCAAAGCCGAUGGCAAGAAUUUCGCCAUCAUGACUCGGGUUCGUACCCCGGAAGUUCCAUUUGGGAACUGCUUCGAGGUCGUUUUGCUCUACAAAAUAACCCAUUCCCCUGAGUUGUCACCAGGUGAAGAGAGCUCACGUCUGACUGUAUCGUAUAAUGUGGAGUUCCUCCAGAGCACCUUGAUGAAAAGCAUGAUCGAGGGAAGCGUUCGGGAUGGACUCAAGGAGAACUUCGAAAGCUUUGCAGAGAUUUUGUCUCGGCAUGUGAAACUGGCUGAUGCCGCGGGGAUGGAUAAAGAGCAGCUGUUGGCGCCGCUGCAGACAGAUCGCCAGUCACAUAUCAGACUUGCUUACAAGUAUUUCUGCAAUUUUACCGUGGUCUCGACGGUGAUAAUGGCAGUGUAUGUUCUUGUGCACAUCCUUCUGUCUAGGCCAGGACCACUUAUGGGUCUCGAGUUUAGUGGUCUGGAUUUACCUGACACAUUUGGGGAGCUGAUCACAUCAGGCAUACUGGUUCUUCAGAUGGAGCGUUUACUGAAUAUGGUAUAUCAUUUUGUACAAGCAAGAAUACAAAGAGGAGGUGAUCACGGGGUUAAGGCAAAUGGUGACGGUUGGCUAUUAACUGUAGCUCUGCUAGAGGCCACAAGCUUGCCGCCUGUUUCUUGUGGAUCAGUAGACCCUUACGUUGUGUUCAGUUGUAAUGGUAUAACGAGGACAAGUUCUGUUCAACUCCAGACUCAGGAACCUCAAUGGAAUGAGGUAAUGGAGUUUGACGCCAUGGAAGAGCCACCUGCUAUGUUGGAUGUUGAGAUUUUCAAUUUUGAUGGCCCAUUCGACUUGGCAAUCUCACUGGGACAUGCAGAAAUUAACUUUCUUAAGCACACACCAACAGAACUAGCAGAUAUAUGGGUACCACUGGAAGGAAAACUAGCCCAGACAUGCCAGAGUAGGCUACAUUUGAGAAUAUUUCUUGAGAAUACUAAAGGAUCUGAGACAUCAAUGAGAGAUUAUCUUAACAAGAUGGAGAAGGAAGUCGGUAAGAAGUUACAUGUUCGGUCACCGCAUAGAAAUUCAACAUUCCAGAAGCUUUUUAGUUUGCCUCACGAAGAGUUCCUUAUAGCAGACUAUGCAUGCUCCUUAAAGAGGAAAUUGCCGUUGCAGGGAAGGCUAUUUUUAUCAGCCAGAAUAGUUGGUUUCUAUGCUAAUUUGUUUGGGCAUAAAACGAAAUUCUUCUUUCUGUGGGACGAUGUCGAAGAAGUUGAAGUGUUACCUCCAUCUUUCACAACAGUAGGCACCCCAUCAUUGGUGUUUAUGUUAAAGAGUGGGCGUGGGCUUGAUGCCAAGAAUGGUGCGAAGUCGCAAGAUAAGGAAGGGAGGCUGAAAUUCCAGUUCCAUUCAUUUGGGUCGUUCAACAAGGCUAGCAGGACGAUAAUCGGUCUGUGGAAAACAAAAUCUUCAGCUAUUGAACAGAGGGCUAAGCUGGAAGAAGAUCAUGGAGAUGAGAGCCAUGACGAUCUUGACGACGUUCAGUCUGUGUUGAGCAUUGGAGACGUGACCCUCUCAAAGGAGUAUACAGUGGAACAUCCUAUUGAUGCAGAUUUGCUGAUGGGGGUGUUCGACGGUGGCGCCCUGGAGACUCGGACGAUGAGCAAGGUGGGGUGCCUCGACUACACGGCGACCCCGUGGGAGGAGACCAAGCCGGGCGUGCUGGAGCGACACGCCAGCUACAAGUUCAACCGCUACAUGUCCAUCUUCGGCGGCGAGGUGGGGAGCACCCAGCUGAAAUCGCCCUCGGAGGACGGCGACGGGUGGACGGUGUACGACUUGAUGACGCUCCGCAACGUCCCCUUCGGUGACUACUUCCGGGUGCAUCUGAGGUACGACGUUCGGAGGGUCGCGUCGUCGGAGCCGGAGCCGCCGAGCUGCCGGUGCGAGGUGCUGGUGGGCAUCGAGUGGCUCAAGAGCAGCAAAUUCCAGAAGCGGAUCGCGAGGAACAUCUGCGACAAGCUGGCCCACAGGGCCAAGGAGGUCCUCGAGGUGGCCGGCAAGGAGAUAGCCUCGGCCAUGUCGGGCUAG
rnacentral:rRNA from 1 species